rnacentral:rRNA from 1 species
AACGAACGCUGGCGGCAUGCCUAACACAUGCAAGUCGAACGAGACCUUCGGGUCUAGUGGCGCACGGGUGCGUAACGCGUGGGAACCUGCCCUUAGGUUCGGAAUAACUCCCCGAAAGGGGUGCUAAUACCGGAUAAUGUCUUCGGACCAAAGAUUUAUCGCCCUUGGAUGGGCCCGCGUUGGAUUAGCUAGUUGGUAGGGUAAAAGCCUACCAAGGCUACGAUCCAUAGCUGGUCUGAGAGGAUGAGCAGCCACACUGGGACUGAGACACGGCCCAGACUCCUACGGGAGGCAGCAGUGGGGAAUAUUGGAAAAUGGGCGAAAGGCUGAUCCAGCAAUGCCGCGUGAGUGAUGAAGGCCUUAGGGUUGUAAAGCUCUUUUACCCGGGAUGAUAAUGACAGUACCGGGAGAAUAAGCUCCGGCUAACUCCGUG